AUGCCCGCGGGCCCGGCCGGGGCCGAGCGGCGGCAGCCGGAGCAGGGGAAGCGGCUGCAGCGGCGGAGACGAGCGGGGUGUUCCCAACCGGCAGUUCGUGCACUCGACAGCGAUGUGGGGGUCUUUGUGGGGGACACCCCGUAUGGGGAAUUCCAGGCCAGGUACUGGAACAGCCAACAGGACUUUCUGGAGGACAGACGGGCUGCAGUGGACUGAUUGUGCUGGAAAAACUACAAGGUGUCCACCCCGUUCACUGUGAACCGCAGAGUGCCCCCCAGCGUGUCCAUCUCGCUGGUACCAUCGAGCUCCCAGCCCGGCCCCAGCCCCUGCUCUGCUCCGUGAUGGAUUUCUACCCUGCCCGGUGCAGGUGAGGUGGUUCCAGGAUGGGCAGGAGCUGCCGGAGCACGUGGUGGCCACCGACGUGGUCCCCAACGGGGACUGGACCUACCAGGUGCUGGUGAUGCUGGAAAUCCCCCCCCGGCACGGGGUCACCUACACCUGCCAGGUGGAGCACGUCAGCCUGGAGCACCCCCUCAGCCGGCACUGGGGUACGACGGUUCUCAACAAAGGAUAUGAGCUUGUUAAAAAUGCAGGGCCCAAAAACCAGUGCUAA